rnacentral:rRNA from 1 species
UACGUAGGGAGCAAGCGUUGUCCGGAAUCAUUGGGCGUAAAGCGCGCGUAGGUGGCCAUGUAAGUCCGCUGUGAAAGUCAAAGGCUCAACCUUUGAAAGCCGGUGGAUACUGCAUGGCUAGAGUACGGAAGAGGCGAGUGGAAUUCCUGGUGUAGCGGUGGAAUGCGCAGAUAUCAGGGGGAACACCAAUAGCGAAGGCAGCUCGCUGGGACGUUACUGACACUGAGGCGCGAAAGCGUGGGGAGCGAACAGG